rnacentral:tRNA from 1 species
GUUUUUGUAGUUGAAAUACAACGAUGGUUUUUCAUAUCAUUGGUC